rnacentral:rRNA from 1 species
UACGUAGGGUGCGAGCGUUGUCCGGAAUUAUUGGGCGUAAAGAGCUCGUAGGCGGUUUGUCGCGUCUGCCGUGAAAGUCCGGGGCUCAACUCCGGAUCUGCGGUGGGUACGGGCAGACUAGAGUGAUGUAGGGGAGACUGGAAUUCCUGGUGUAGCGGUGAAAUGCGCAGAUAUCAGGAAGAACACCCGUGGCGAAGGCGGCUCUCUGGGACGGUACUGACGCUGAGACGCGAAAGCGUGGGGAGCGAACAGG